UACGUAGGGUGCAAGCGUUGUCCGGAAUUAUUGGGCGUAAAGAGCUCGUAGGCGGUCUGUUGCGUCGGCUGUGAAAACCCGAGGCUCAACCUCGGCCUGCAGCCGAUACGGGCAGACUAGAGUUCGGCAGGGAGACUGGAAUUCGUGGUGAUAGCGGUGAAAUGCGCAGAUAUCAGGAGGAACACCGGUGGCGAAGGCGGGUCUCUGGGCGAGUG
rnacentral:rRNA from 1 species